CAAGACUUCUUUCAAUAUGGCUUUUUUCCCAGAAUGCCCUGAAUGUCAGUUCUGUGAGCUUUUGACAUGUCUCAUUUGUUGUUAUAAGGAUCCGUAGAGGUUACUUCUAUCUUGCUGCAAACAAUCAUGGCAGAGUGGAAAAACUCCCAUAAUUCAGCAGGAGUACAGACAGUUGGUGGACGUUUAUAAGAUUUUAUGAGAAAAUGACCCAAAGAGGUCAACAUCACUUCAGUGUUCAGUUUGAGAGGGAGCAAACUGUUUCACCAAAGAGAACUCGAUGUCUACAAAGAAUCACGUCUCUGUCUGAAAAGAGGAGAAAAGGCAGGUCUUUAUUCUAGUAUUAUUAGUGUUACGCAUAAAGUCACCCUUGUGAAAAAGAAGUGCACUUAGUUGUAUUGAAUGUACACUUGUAAUGUACUUCAAAUUUUAAAUGUAUAUUUUUAAAAACUGCACUUGCAGAUGAUGUAAUAUUACUGAAAGUAAUAUUACUACAAUUUGUAUUAAUGUCAAAUUACCUUAAAUUAUAAGCUGUGUUUGGGACUAUAUGUAUGUAUAUAUGUAUAUAUACACAGUUAUAAGUUGGGCUUGCAAACUUUCUCAUGGUGCUAUCAGCCAAUCAAUAUUGUUCUGAUAUCAUUUUCCACAGCUCAACAGUAAUUAUUCACAUAUCCAACCUGCUGUUGAAUUAAAUACUAAUGUUAACAGAUAGAUGUCUCCAGCCAUAUAGACAUUCUUGGUAUGAAUAAAAGCGUAGGACUCACAACAGCUUGGACAGCUGUAUAACUAUAUUCUGCUGCUGUAUAAAUGCAGCCGAAGUCACUUCCUAUAGAUGCAAGGGGAGGCUAAAUGUAUAAGAGACUAAAUCAAAUAGCAAGUGUUGAAGCGUGCGGUGUGUUCAGAGUGAUUUGCUGGUCAGUUUUUAAUCACCAUGGCCACUGAAUUUGACUGAAGAGAAACAGAACAGCAUCACAGAAAUAUGAUGCAAGAGGCUGAAACUGAAAAACAUAGGCCCCUGUUUUACUCAACCUGUUGGUGUCUGAGUGUGUGUGUGUGUGUGUUUGUAUAUAUAUAUAAUCAAUUUAAUGAUUCCUUGAUGAAUAAGAGUAUCCGUUUCCUUCAAAACAAAUCUUACUGAUCCCAAACUUCUUUUAUCAUAUAAUUUUGCCCUCUUUUACAAAUUAUUGUAUGAGACUGUGCUGGUCUAGCUGUUUUUCUGUGUAUAUGGCCCCUUACUCUCCUCUGAUCUAUCAGAACCAUUUCAAAGCUGUCACAUUUUCACAAUUUAAAUAAACAAUGUUGGAAAACUCUGAUUCCAAAGCUCAUAUUCUGAAGUGCGGAGAUGUGUUGAUAACUGCCACAGUUUCUUUUGUAUAAUUUGUCCAGAGCAAUUCAACCAUUACAGGAAAACCGAUUCAGUGAUGCCAGUUUCCAUCAACAAUGAUUAAAUAUUUAAGAGCUACCCAAUCAGAGAGAGUGUAUGAAAGAGAGAGAAUGGAGGCACUGAGAGGGUGUAGGGGGAAAAGGAAAAUUAAAAAAGAGACAGCAGAGUAAUCAUUCAUUAAAUCAGGGUCAGGAAAACAUCCAUGUAAUGUUUCAGGUCAGUGAUUCGGGUCCAUACAUUUCUCCAGUUUCCUGCAGCGCUGGAUGAAAGUGCACAACUGAUUUUUUGAUCAGAUUAAUGAAUCCAACAAAUGAAUAAAUUAACAUGGGAUGAAUUUGGCACUAUACAUUCUCCAUAUCAUUGUUUCUACGUCUGUAAUUCUCUUAGUCAGUAAUGUGAUGCUGUCUGAAUCCUGUUCACAUAAGGCUCUUCUUUUCAGACCCCCACUGGGUUAAUACAGACAUCAACUAUGCGAGACCCUCAGGUUAUUGUAUACUGAGAGAGAGAAAGACAGAGAGAUAUAUAAGGACAGGUUGAAACACAAUCUGUCAAAACUCAGUAACUGGCACAGUGCCCUGCAGUCAUAUGAGUCUGUUCUGUUAGCUGUGCAAUAACUAAACUGUAAGGAGAGGUCAGACCGCAGGCAGCUAUAGAUCGGGACUGGCAGUGCUUUUCAAGAUUGAGGAAGCACAGAUAUCAAUGUGCAUUGAUCUAUUUUUAUAUUUGUGUCUGCAGUGUUGUUCCGAAACAUUGCACCUCAAACUAAUGCUAAACAGUAAAAAUAAUUUAGAGAACUUAGAUCUGAAUUUUUGUAUACAGUAGGUAUAGUACUAAAGACAACUUGCAGCAAUCAAAAUAUGAACGUCAAACUAAGUGCUUCACGGUGGAAUUUAAUUGUGUACGAAUCUCCUACACUCUUAAAAAUAAAGGUGCUUCACGAUACCAUAGAAGAACCUUUUUGUCCAAAUGGUUCCAUAAAGAACCUUUAACAUCUGAAGAACCUUUCUGUUUCACAAAAGGUUCUUUGUGGCGAAAGAAGUUUCUUCAGAUUAUAAAAAGGUAAGAAAGAGAUGGUUCUUUAAAGAACCUUUGACUGAAUCAUUCUUUGUGGAACCAAAAAUGGUUCUUCUAUGGCAUCGCUUGAAGAACCUUUUGAAGCACCUUUAUAUUUAAGAGUGUAGCACUUUGCUUAUACUAGAGUUUUUUAUUUUUAAACAGUAAAUCAUGUAUAUCACUGUGGAUGUUUAUAUUUUCCAUUAUUAUUUACAUUUUAUUUAAAGUUUAACUACUUUUGUUGUUUUUGUAGUUUUUAUUAUGUUUUUUUUAAUGUCUAUUUAGUUUUUGUUCAUUGUUGUUUUAGUAUUUCUAGUACUAAGUUUUUUUCUAUUCUAUUGUAAUUUACUCAGGCCAGCCAAGAUUAGGAUGCUUUUGUUAGAAACAUUUGGAGAAAAUUAGCAUUACAUCACUUGCUCACCAAUGGAUCCUCUGCAGCUGAUAAAAUAUCACAAAAUCUUAUGAAGAUUUUAUGCAUUUUUGUAAUAAGCAAAUUCAUCAUUAAGAGUUUUUAACUUCAAACCACUGGUUCCAGGUAAAAUACCUCUAUCCUCUAUCCAUGUUUCUUUCAAAAGUCUCAUCUGUAUCACAAG
ensembl:lncRNA